GUGAAUCAUCAAAUCUUUGAACGCAAAUUGCACUCUCUGGUAUUCCGGAGAGUAUGCCUGUUUGAGGGUCAGAUUCACUAAAAAUAGGUGUGGUUGCUGCCUUUCGUGGUUACGCACCGGAUUAGGGUCGUCUUGCCUUCGGUUAAGUGACCAAAAAUAUUGCAUGAUUUUUUUCGAACGUAUUCUAAUGAUUUUACGUACGUUUGCGAUAACGAAUACUAGGUGUGGACCUU
rnacentral:misc_RNA from 1 species